rnacentral:rRNA from 1 species
UAGGGAAUAUUGGACAAUGGGCGAAAGCCUGAUCCAGCAACGCCGCGUGCACGAUGAAGGCUUUCGGGUUGUAAAGCACUUUCAGCGAGGAGGAAGGCCUUAAAGUUAAUACCUUUAAGGAUUGACGUUACUCGCAGAAGAAGCACCGGCUAACUCCGUGCCAGCAGCCGCGGUAAU